GACGAACGCUGGCGGCGUGCUUAACACAUGCAAGUCGAACGGUGAACGAGGGAGCUUGCUCCCUCCGGAUCAGUGGCGAACGGGUGAGUAACACGUGAGCAAUCUGCCCCGAACUCUGGGAUAAGCGUUGGAAACGACGUCUAAUACCGGAUACGACGCGGGAGGGCAUCCUCUCCGCGUGGAAAGAACUUCGGUUCGGGAUGAGCUCGCGGCCUAUCAGCUUGUUGGUGAGGUAACGGCUCACCAAGGCGACGACGGGUAGCCGGCCUGAGAGGGUGACCGGCCACACUGGGACUGAGACACGGCCCAGACUCCUAGGGGAGGCAGGAGUGGGGAAUAUUGCACAAUGGGCGCAAGCCUGAUGCAGCAACGCCGCGUGAGGGACGACGGCCUUAGGGUUGUAAACCUCUUUUAGCAGGGAAGAAGCGAAAGUGACGGUACCUGCAGAAAAAGCACCGGCUAACUACGU
rnacentral:rRNA from 1 species